rnacentral:rRNA from 12 species
UGGGUGAGUCGAUCCUAAGAGAUAGGAGAAUUCUUUUUGAAAGUGGCCCUUCCUCGGAUGGGCCCGGCUAUCGAAAGGGAAUCGGGUUAAUAUUCCCGAACCAGAACGUGGAUAAUGAGUGGUAACACAAACGAAACUGGAGACGUUGGCGAGAGCCCCGGGAAGAGUUCUCUUUUCUUUUUAACAGACCGUUAGACCUUGGAAUCGGAUUGACCGGCGAUAAGGUUUAACGACUGGCAAAGCAGUGUUUUUUUGCACUGUCCGGUGCGCUUUCGACGGCCCUUGAAAAUCCAGUGGAGUGACUUAUUCGCACGUCUGGUCGUACUCAUAACCGCCUCAGGUCUCCAAGGUGUGCAGCCUCUAGUCGAUAGAACAAUGUAGAUAAGGGAAGUCGGCAAAAUAGAUC